CGGACGAACGAGCGAGCGAGCAAGCACAUUUUAUGGUCGCAAACAGGUGUACAUCGAACACACACGCAUACGCUCAUACAAAUACAGACAGAGAGCCAUUGUGAGGCAAAUGAUUGACUACAAAAGGAAAACAAACAGGAUGUAGCAACAGACAUGAAUAUUUUUCUAUGGCGAAGUUAUGAAAGUGAAAGUGUAUGAGUGAGAGAGAGAGAGCGAGCAAGUGAGAGUUGAAACAUCGCCGCUCAUCCACCUGAUGCAAAACAUAGAAAACCAAGUGGAAAAAUCUAAUGUGCCAACCAGCUAGCCCAGUUAAUGGGUGAGUGAGAACAACUUUCGCUGAUAACCCAAAGAGCCAAGGCACAGUUCGAGUUGUACCGUCAUGAGUGAAGGAUAUCGUACGCGGACGGAACUGGCCAUUACUUGGGAAUUUUAAAUUUAAUUUCUGUGAAACAGGAAACUUUUCAGUUCAGUUAAAAAGAAAAAAAAAGUAAAAAAAAAUACAAAAGUUUAAUAACAAUUACUGCUGCUGCUGGUAGUAGUUAUGUGUUUGUGUUUAUGUGUCUGAUUUACUAUGCAGUGUGAGUACGUCUGUGAGUUCGAUGGUAUGUUAGUGUGGUCUCAGCUACAAAUGUCUAUCUCUAAAAGCGUAGUGUCAAUAAAUGAGUAAGUGUGUGUGUGUGUGUGUCAGUCUUCAUGAUUUGUUUGUUGGUUCUGUAUAUAAAGUUAAGUGAUGGUGAUUGUGAGAUUAAAAUUUUUAACAGCAAACACACUCACGCACACAUAAAUACCCAUACAUGUAUGUGGCAACAAAUUUAUUUACUGUAUACUCAAAUCUCCCAUGGCAAAUGUUAAGCGCUUUUAAUUUUAUCACUGAAAAGAAGUAAAAUGAGAAAUUAUUUCCAGAAAAAAAGAAAAAUAUUUUUUUUCCGAAGUUUAGCCCCUAAAUAAAUUUUACGAAAUUUGUGAAAAAUGUAUUACAAAUUACUUUGCAAAUUCGUGUGUGUAUAACAUAAAUAACAAGGAUAAAACAAAAUAUACACCAAAUCAAAAACCGAUAAAUUCCAACCAGCAACAGCAAUAAAACACAAAAUCUAACCAAGCCAAGCCAAACCAAAUCGAAAAAGAAGAUAUGAUAUUGAAAAGUGUAUCAAGAAAAUUUUCACCUCAACACACAUGACGGGCUGAUUGGUUGGUCGGUUGGUUGUUGUGCCGUAUGAAAGUUAAGAAAAAAAAAACCCCUCCAAAGCAAAGAGGAACAAAGAGGCCAUACUAAGGUGUGAGUGUCGAACAGCAACAACAAACAACAUUGAAAAUCCAUUGUUGUACCACACAGUAUUACUUCGAACCGAACUUGGCUGCAAACCCAGUGGAAAGCAACAAUAGAACGGAGUUUAAUAGUUACAGAUAAACAUCCUUCGUUAGACCGAUGAAUAACUAUACAUUUACAAACUAAUAAGGUAAGUGAAGCUUAAGGAACAAUAAUGUAUAAUAUUUCCGGAACAAACUAACACUAACAACAUGACGGAACAUAAGGGUCUUUAGCAAACAAAUGGCAAUUAAUUCAUGUAGAGUGUGUGUGUGUGUGCGGGAGAGGAGCGUAGUGGUAUCCAAAAGGACAUUUCAUUUAGUUAAGAUAAAUGUUCGAAAAAAAAAAAUAAUAUAAAUGCGAACCACCCCUGACAUAAGGAAAAGGUUUGGUUUUGUAAAUUGAUAUCCACAUACAUACAUACAUAUUGUAGUUCGAAGUGGUCCCUUGUAUGUAUACUAUGUAAAUAACUAGCUGUCUACAAAAAAAAAGGAUGAGAAGACGAAAUGAAACCUAACAGCAGGAAAUUUACAUACAUAAACACAGUGAUAAAAAUAAAAAUUCCAUUUGCCUGAUGUCUUCCCUUCGUAGCCAGUCAGCCGUAGAAAUUAAAUCUGAGAAUAUGGUUAUGCCUGACGUAUGCGUUAUAUGGUCUGUUAAUGAAAUAUCGCUCAUUCGUCUAGGUGUCAUUUACAUUUAAAUGAGGCUAUUUUGUCAAAAACAAAAACAAAAAAACGUGAACGACACAAAAAUAAAAAUAAAAUACAAAAAAAACAAAAGCAAAUAAAAA